rnacentral:rRNA from 1 species
ACGGGGUGCAGCAGGCGCGAAAACUUCACACUGUGCGAAAGCACGAUGAGGGAAUCCCAAGUGCUUGCACGUAAGUGUAAGCUGUUUCUUUGUUUAAAACGCAUUGAGAGUAAGAGCUGGGUAAGACGGGUGCCAGCCGCCGCGGUAAUACCUGCAGCUCAAGUGGUGGCCGCUAUUAUUGGGCCUAAAACGUCCGUAGCCGGUUUAAUAAAUGCCUGGGUAAAUUGUGUAGCUUAACUAUACGAAUUCCGGGUAGACUGUUAAACUUGAGACCGGGAGAAGUUAGAGGUACUCCUGGGGUAGAGGUGAAAUUCUGUAAUCCUAGGGGGACCACCAGUGGCGAAGGCGUCUGACUAGAACGGGUCUGACGGUGAGGGACGAAGCCCUGGGGCGCAAACCGGAUUAGAUACCCGGGUAGUCCAGGGUGUAAACGCUGCUUGCUUGAUGUUGGUUGGGCUCCGAGCCCAAUCAGUGUCGGAGAGAAGUUGUUAAGCAAGCUGCCUGGAAGUACGCCGCAAGAC